UCUCCAAGACGCUUGACCGCUCUUCCUUUCCUGGAUGGCACCAGCAGGGCCGAUUGGAGUGGUAAACCCUGGGCCGGAAGGCAUGCCAAAGGGUGGACAGGAUGGACAGGAGACAGUAGCACAACGAGGAGGGGGAGAACAGCGGCUGAAUUGGAAAUGAUAAAAUAAAAUGAAAUUUUAGGAGCUCGCUGGCUGGGACAGGCCUGGACUGCAAGGAGGGGUCUUUGCACCAUCUCUGAAAAGCCGAUGUGUAUCCUCAGCUUUGAGAACUGAAUUCCAUGGGUUGUGUCAGUGUCAGACCUCUGAAAUUCAGUUCUUCAGCUGGGAUAUCUCUGUCAUCGUGGGCUUGAGGACCUGGAGAGAGUAGAUCCUGAAGAACUUUUUCAGUCUGCUGAAGAGCUUGGAAGACUGGAGACAGAAGGCAGAGUCUCAGGCUCUGAAGGUAUAAGGAGUGUGAGUUCCUGUGAGAAACACUCAUUUGAUUGUGAAAAGACUUGAAUUCUAUGCUAAGCAGGGUUCCAAGUAGCUAAAUGAAUGAUCUCAGCAAGUCUCUCUUGCUGCUGCUGCUACUCGUUUACAUUUAUUGAUUACUUACGAUGAUUCAGGUACUGUUGUAAGUGCUUUACAUGCUGUUAUACGAGACUCUUGGGAGAAAUCACUUUAAUGAAGCUUGAGACACAUGGCAUUGCCAUGCAAUGAUUUUUCCCCCCUCUUCACGGGAUCAGAGGGAACUAAUAGAAUGUGACAAUGAUUCUUUAGCAGGGACUGCUGAGGCUUCUGGUUCCUUUUUAAGAUCUGCAGUGAAAGAAGAUGAGAAACAUGGAUAUGCCCUUCUUUUGGUCCCCCUCUUCCUUUAUUUGAUCUCUACUUCCUUCUAUAAAUAUAUUAGGGCUACAUUGUCCCUUUGUAUUUCAAACAAGGCAAAAAGAGGUUGUAAUUACACUUUACUGCAAUCCUCAGUUUCUCCAGGGAACAGGAAUGCAAAGGCUUUGAAGGCCUCUCUAUUUGCUGACAUGGUCAGCUGGGUGCCAUGGGCCAAGUCCUUCUGUUGCCCUCCUCUGUCACCAAGUAAGCUAGGUCCUUUCUGAGGCUCAGGUUUGCUGUGAUGAUGAUCACUUUUAGGCAGAAGGUUAGAGGCCUCAUGAGUGCUAUAUGGACUUUAUUAGGCUUUAGAUUUGAUGGGGAAUAAGGGAUGUGAUUUGUCUUUUGGGAACUCAUCUUUGAUUCAUCAUUGUCUCUUGGUAUCUUGGAAUUUCCAUGUCAUUACAGUCUACAGAAUGAAAGAGUAACCUGUCCCAGAGGAGAGGCAGGUGAAAGACUCCACAGCAUGCUCAUUCUCAUUCUGUCUUCUCAGUGACACCGAGGUUUACUGAGUGCCCACUAUGUGCCAAGCACUGUGCUCAGGGCUUUCUUUGUAUGCAUGAUCUCAGUGAAUCUCACCAAGCCUCAUCUGGAAAACGGGGACAAAUUAACAACAGGAUGGCAAAUUGAAAAACACGUAACCAUGUUCUACAGAUGGAAAGGGGUGCUUGGUUAUUAUGAAGGCCCCCUCGCAAGCGUGUGGGACAUGGGUGUGUUCUCUGGGUUGUACUGAUCAGAUCAAGGACCUCCCCCACCCUUCUCACACUCUGCCCACUUCCGCCCUUUGCUUAUCAGACCCUUAGCCAGUGACUCAUUCCAGAACCAGAACCUUGGUGAAAUCUCAACCGACACCAGAGAUCGGUGUCUUCAGUCCUAGACUGAUGGAGAAAAUCCAGAAUAUAUACUAGAAGCUCCAAAUGCUCUGGGUUUCAGCUCCUCUGUGCUGUGGACACUGACUUUGGCUCAGAACUCCGAUUUAGUACAAAAGGCUCAUUUUUAUUUCAGGGGCACUCUUCCUAAAGCAAACCUAAUAAAUGAAAUAUGGAAUUCACAGAUACACACACACAUUAAAAAAUUAACCUAGUGUAUCUGUGAGGAGUAGGCAGAAAUUCACUGUAUAAAAGAAUGCUUCAUUUCAUAGAGAAUUUGUGUUAAGAUUCCAUUAGAUAGUACAUUUCUCAAAGAUUUUUGAGGUUGUAUUUGCUUUACCAAAACUUGGUUUAUGUAAGUGGAAAAAGCAUGUUGCAAAAUAACUUGGUGUCUAUGAUUCAGUUUAUGUAAAAUAAUAAAUGUAUGUAGGAAUACGUGUGUUGAAAGAUGUACAUCAAUUUGCUAACAAUGGUUAUCUCUGACGUGGUGGGAUUUGAGAUGUGUUUUUCUUUUUGGUUGUAUUUUUCUCUAUUGUUUGACUUAACACAGAACAUGUUUGGUUACAACAAUAAAGUUAUUGAAGACAAAAAAAAAAAAAAA
rnacentral:lncRNA from 1 species